AGUUCAUUUGAUUAUUCAAUCAGGGAUUUUUCAAAUGCUAAUAUGAUAGGAGCAAAAGGUUAACUGGGCAACUCCUUGCCUGAUUUGGACAUGCUGCCAUUUGGAUGGCUAACUAAUCCUUGUUAAUGAGGCUUUGUUGCUAUUUUUUCUCUUUCCUGUUCAAAUGAAGGUCCACAUAGGUAUAGUAACCUCAAUUUAGAAGAGAAGAAAACACAGGUAUUGACAAAAGCACAACUAAGUUGUUUUCCAAUAUGUUCAUGUGUUAAUUUUAACUUGAGUAUAUCAAUAGGUUGAGUGAAUGUGUUCUUAUUCCACAGAUGAUUAUGUGGUCUAUGGACUAUGGCAAAAUCUCCCCUUAUGUUUUAAGCUAAAAUCUAACAGAUUUAACCCUUCAAUGAAUUAUUUUUCUUUCCAGACCAUCAAACAGAGAAUAAAAAAUAAAUAUCUGGCAAUCGAGAAAGUCAAUUGUUAUUGCUUCUUUGUUCACUUGAGGUAUGUUUUGAAGGACUAUUGCUUCUUGGAUUUUGUCGCGGUUUAACAUCUGUAUAGGGAAAAAGAACCAUCCACAAUUUUUCACCCUCAUGGUUGCUACUAUGCUCUUGGUAAGCAAUAUUGUCCACCUAUGCCUUGCUCAUUCACAUGGUUGAAUCUACUGCAACUAGCUAUAUAAGUUAUACUAUGUAAUUUGUUGAUCUAAAUGAUUUUUUUUCCUUCUUAUCUACAAAUUCUCGCCCUUAAUUUUCAUGGUUGCGAGUUUCAAAGCUAGUUCAAGUGGCUUUUUCUUCUUCCACUUCUUUUUUGUAGUUUCUGUUAUCUUAUAAGGUGAGUUGCUGACUAAUAUCAACCUUUUUUUCCAAAUAGCAAAAGUUGUAGUUCUUUUUUUUCUGCAACUUUAUUGAAUGAUAUAUGAUAUCAAUUUGUGACCUUUUGCAGGUGACUCAUUUACAUAUAAUUUGUAUUGGAUCUGGUUUUAAAUACUCUUUUUUUCUUUCUUUUUUUUUCUUGGGAGUUUAUUGAAUGAGGAUGCCAUUGUGUGAGCUUAUUGAAGGACGGUAAAGGUUUCAACAAAGAACACAAGACUCGGCUAUUGCGGUUUGUGACAUGCACAUCCAAGGUCUAUUGCUAUCCAGGACUUUGAACAUUUUAAUUUUUUAUAAGCUACUAAAUGUCUGGUUGUUUUCCAACUAUUUGAACAUAUUAUUUCAUAAUAUGAUAGUUAUGUGUAAUUAUACCUAUUUUCUUGAGAUCAAUUUAUUUCUGAAGCAUUUUAGUCAAUCAAGAAUGAGUCUCACCUCACAUGAUUGAACGUUACUGCAGAGUAUGUAAGGCUUUGGAACCUCACAAAGAAUAUUGUGAUAGUUGUAAUUUGAGUGAUCUGAAAUGAGGAUGGAUCUAUGACUUAGGCUUUUUCUUGCCUACGUAUAAUGAUCUAAGUAGUGUUGCUUACUAUUCAAUCUGCAA